rnacentral:rRNA from 1 species
GAGUUUGAUCAUGGCUCAGAUUGAACGCUGGCGGCAUGCCUUACACAUGCAAGUCGAACGGCAGCAUGAUCUAGCUUGCUAGAUUGAUGGCGAGUGGCGAACGGGUGAGUAAUACAUCGGAACGUGCCCUGUAGUGGGGGAUAACUAGUCGAAAGAUUAGCUAAUACCGCAUACGACCUGAGGGUGAAAGUGGGGGACCGCAAGGCCUCAUGCUAUAGGAGCGGCCGAUGUCUGAUUAGCUAGUUGGUGGGGUAAAGGCCCACCAAGGCGACGAUCAGUAGCUGGUCUGAGAGGACGAUCAGCCACACUGGGACUGAGACACGGCCCAGACUCCUACGGGAGGCAGCAGUGGGGAAUUUUGGACAAUGGGCGAAAGCCUGAUCCAGCAAUGCCGCGUGUGUGAAG